rnacentral:tRNA from 1 species
UAGCUCAGUGGCAGAGUGCAUGCCUAGCAUGCAUGAGAUCCUGGGUUCAAUCCCCAG